GCUAGGAUGAAAAAUUUUGUCCUGCAUUUUUUUUAGUUGUAAUUUCUGUCCUGCCUUUUUAUUUUUCACUCUAUUCGGUCCUGCCUUUUUUUUAUUAGUUUGUCCUGACUUUUUUUACCUAAAUUGUCAUCCUGCCUUUUUUAUUUGCAAAGUGUCUCAUCCUGCCUUUUUUUUUUUACUCAAAACUCCUGUCCUGCCUAUUUUUUCAAAUUUCAUCCUAGC
rnacentral:lncRNA from 1 species